CGGCGUUGUGCUAGACAGUAAACAAGGUCCGUGACAGUACAUGUUGGCUACAUGUACCUCCUUGCUUUUUUCUUCCAUUGCAUAAAUCUUGUUGGCGAGCCAAGCGAUUGGCGAUAACACGUUGGCGAUAACACAUUGGCUAUCUCCUCGUCUUUCUUAUUUAAAUAAGGAGCUCUGACUCAACUGAUUUCUUUCGUCUCGCAAUAUUUUCUUCGUAAACGCCUGUACAAACACCCGCUUCUGUUUAAUAGUUGUUUACGCUUUAUUGAUCUGAUGCAGAUCUGAUGAAAUUUUUCGCUCUUUGUACUGAGUUCUGUGAUGUAGCACCUUAUACAGUCAAUGACAAUGUAUAAUGAAUACACAGUCUAAAUAAUAUCGAUUGGCACUUAAUUGAAUGCCGGUAAUUAUAACAUCAAUUUAUAUAUUAUAUUAUUGCGUAGAAUCUCAAAGAUUUUCUCAAUAUUCAUGUCUGAAAUGUUUAUAUACUUGAAAACAACACUGUCUCGCUUCUUCGUACGUACUGUAC